AUACGGAGGGUGCAAGCGUUAUCCGGAUUUAUUGGGUUUAAAGGGUUCGUAGGCGGAUCAAUAAGUCAGUGGUGAAAGCCUGUGGCUCAACCAUAGAACUGCCAUUGAUACUGUUGAUCUUGAGUACACUUGAAGUGGGCGGAAUGCGUCAUGUAGCGGUGAAAUGCAUAGAUAUGACGCGGAACACCGAUUGCGAAGGCAGCUCACUAAAUUGUAACUGACGCUGAGGAACGAAAGCGUGGGGAGCGAACAGGAUUAGAUACCCUAGUAGUCC
rnacentral:rRNA from 1 species